CACGUAGGGUGCGAGCGUUGUCCGGAAUUACUGGGCGUAAAGAGCUCGUAGGUGGUUUGUCGCGUUGUUCGUGAAAACUCACAGCUCAACUGUGGGCGUGCGGGCGAUACGGGCAGACUGGAGUACUGCAGGGGAGACUGGAAUUCCUGGUGUAGCGGUGGAAGUGCGCAGAUAUCAGGAGGAACACCGGUGGCGAAGGCGGGUCUCUGGGCAGUAACUGACGCUGAGGAGCGAAAGCGUGGGGAGCGAACAGG
rnacentral:rRNA from 1 species